GAACUGCUCAACAUAUGAACUGUUUCUUGUAUCCCAUUUUGGCCUCUAGAUACAAACUUAUUCUCAAUUUGAACUGUGAUGCUUAUAGAAAACAUAAAUAUUGAAAUAUUUCAUAUGAAACUUUUAAAAUUUUUAAAAUAUGCAUGUACAGAAUGUAUCUUGCCACCAGUAUCACCUUUUUUUCCAGAUAUGCUGAGGUAAGAAGUAGGGGGAGACUGAUCACCAAAGUAUAUCUUGAGAAUCGAAUGAUCAUGAUAAAAUUUUGUGGGCUUAUUGGAAGUAGAGACACGAGAUCAACUUUGAAAUCUCCAAUGAAAAUAUAUGCCGAUUUGGGCAUAAUUGAAUUGUAAAAAAAACAGG
rnacentral:lncRNA from 1 species